GUCAGUCAAACAGGAAUAUCCGUCCAAUGACACAUCCAUGAUAUUUGAUAAUAUAACAUUAACCAUUAUAAUAUUAGGUAGAUAAAUUUAGAUAUCCGAAUACAAUUGUAUCAUACCACUGUUUAAUGUAAAGUAAUGAUUUUAGUGGGUUCACUUAAGAUUGAUUGCUACAAAAUUGUUCAACUAUACCUGUACCUACAAUAUUACAUGGAUUUUUCUACGUGCAGAAAUUAUUAUAUUUUUACAUACGUAUAUCACCUAGAUGUAGGCAUGUACCUACACGGAAAAAUAUUUCGGGGGAG